GCGAAACCUUUACACUGCACGCCAGUGCGAUAAGGGGAUCCCAAGUGCGCAGGCAUAGAGCCUGCGCUUUUGUACACCGUAGGGAGGUGUACGAAUAAGGGCUGGGCAAGACCGGUGCCAGCCGCCGCGGUAAUACCGGCAGCCCGAGUGAUGGCCGAUCUUAUUGGGCCUAAAGCAUCCGUAGCUGGCCGCGCAAGUCCAUCGGAAAAUCCACCCGCUCAACGGGUGGGCGUCCGGCGGAAACUGCGUGGCUUGGGACCGGAAGGCGCGACGGGUACGUCCGGGGUAGGAGUGAAAUCCCGUAAUCCUGGACGGACCGCCGAUGGCGAAAGCACGUCGCGAGGACGGAUCCGACAGUGAGGGACGAAAGCCAGGGUCUCGAACCGGAUUAGAUACCCGGGUAGUCCUGGCCGUAAACAAUGUCUGUUAGGUGUGGCUCCCACUACGAGUGGGUGCUGUGCCGUAGGGAAGCCGCUAAACAGACCGCCUGGGAAGUACGUCCGCAAGGAUGAAACUUAAAGGAAUUGGCGGGGGAGCACUACAACCGGAGGAGCCUGCGGUUUAAUUGGAAUCA
rnacentral:rRNA from 1 species